GAGUUUGAUCGUGGCUCAGAACGAACGCUGGCGGCGUGCCUAACACAUGCAAGUCGAGCGGGAAAGUUCCCUUCGGGGAGCGAGUACAGCGGCGAACGGGUGAGUAACACGUAGGUAACCUACCCUGGAGACUGGGAUAACCUGCCGAAAGGCGGGCUAAUACUAGAUAAGACCACGAGGGCUGCGGCUCUUGCGGGAAAAGGUGGCCUCUACUUGUAAGCUACCACUUCAGGAUGGGCCUGCGCGCCAUUAGCUAGUUGGUGAGGUAACGGCUCACCAAGGCCGAGAUGGCUAGCUGGUCUGAGAGGAUGGCCAGCCACACUGGGACUGAGACACGGCCCAGACUCCUACGGGAGGCAGCAGUGGGGAAUCUUGCGCAAUGGGCGAAAGCCUGACGCAGCGACGCCGCGUGGGUGAUGAAGGCCUUC
rnacentral:rRNA from 1 species